AUUGAACGCUGGCGGCAGGCCUAACACAUGCAAGUCGGACGGUAACAGGAAGCAGCUUGCUGCUUCGCUGACGAGUGGCGGACGGGUGAGUAAAGUCUGGGAAACUGCCUGAUGGAGGGGGAUAACUACUGGAAACGGUAGCUAAUACCGCAUAACGUCGCAAGACCAAAGAGGGGGACCUUCGGGCCUCUUGCCAUCAGAUGUGCCCAGAUGGGAUUAGCUAGUAGGUGGGGUAAAGGCUCACCUAGGCGACGAUCCCUAGCUGGUCUGAGAGGAUGACCAGCCACACUGGAACUGAGACACGGUCCAGACUCCUACGGGAGGCAGCAGUGGGGAAUAUUGCACAAUGGGCGCAAGCCUGACGCAGCCAUGCCGCGUGUAUGAAGAAGGCCUUCGGGUUGUAAAGUACUUUCAGCGGGGAGGAAGGCAAUGCGGUUAAUAACCGUGUUGAUUGACGUUACCCGCAGAAGAAGCACCGGCUAACUCCGUGCCAGCCGCCGCAGUAA
rnacentral:rRNA from 1 species